UCUAUCUAAUAUUAUCAUUUCUAAUUUUAUUUCGUCUAAUCUUACCACACAUCCUAUCAUCAUAUAUGUUACAUUUACUUUAUUCUCGUGUUGAUUAGUGACGAAUAUUUCUAAUUUUUAAAAUUUCAAAACAUACAAAUUGAAGAUAGUUUUCAAAAUCACUUUUGUAAAACUAGAUAAUCAAAAAAGUUUUAUCAUCUUCAAAUUUAAAAAACAAAAUGAAACCACCUAUAAAAUUCUGAAUUAGGGAGGGACAACGGGUCAGGUAGGACGGUUUCGGACUCAACACCGAAACACCGACCAAAAUCAACCGGGGGUAGUUUUGAGAGAUCUAUUUCCGCCCACUUUUCUACGGAUUGACCGGGUUACGGGUUGAUCGGUUCCUGGUCAAGCAAAUGGUUUCAAACGGGUACAUCUCAAAUAUCUCAACAAGCAAGAAAAUAUAAAAAAUUUAGAUCAAAACAAAAGAAAUUAAUAAAACAAUAUAAAUAAUUUUAAAUCUAUGAACACUUCACAAAAGUAAAACUUGGAAAAAGAAAUUUAAGAUGUAGAAGAAGCACAAGAAGUGGCAUCGGAGUAUAUUGAAGCAAAUUUAAAAUAAGAAUAAGGGAAACCUUUUUGAAAGAAGUUGAUGGGGAUGAAAUUUCUAAAACACACAAUGAAGAGAGGGAGAAAAAGAGAUAUGCAUCUUUUAUGAUUUCACUUCAGAAGAUCAUGCAGGUCGACAUUCUACAACUAGCUGAAAACCACCUGCAAAAUCUCCACUCAAUGAAAGCUUAAAGAUUCAUGAGUACAUGUUAAAAGAAAGAAAGUUAGUAUUCAAUUGAAAAUGUGAAACAAAGAGUCACCAUGCUCAAGAUAAGUGCUUAUGAGAAGAACCAACCAGCUCUUAAAACACCAAAUGUGAAACAAAGAGUCAUACAUACUGCACAACAUCAUGGUUCUGAAUAAAGGUAGCAUUUUCAUUCUCAAGAAGAUAAAGUAAAACCAAUAGAAUAGUUAAAUUUUUGAAAUAAAGUCUAUUCACUAACCAAAAAUACAUAAAAGGAAGUAGGAAGCCACUGUAUAAAUUAUAUGUCACAAAAAAUGCAGAGCCCUCAGAUCUCAUACCUAAGCUUAUAAAUCAUCUGCGGCUUAUAUCACAGGUUUCAUUUCCAGCCUCUGUGCACCAUCUAAAAUAAAUAAAUAAAUAAAUAAACAAUGAAUGUAUACGUGGAGAUUGAAAGAAAGAGCGACUGAGAGAGAGACAAAUGAGAGAGAGACAAAGAGAAAGAGAAUGUGAGAAUCAAUGGUGCAGGUCAGGCUGUGAACAAAACCAUGUGGCCACUCAGUAGUCUAUUUGUUCAUCAUCGGGCAGUAAAACAUAGAAUGGAGCUAUAAACUGUACUUUAUGUCUUAAACCAAAAAAAUCAAAACGCACAAGCAAUGCAUAAUUUGUUGCGGCCUGAUCAGACUGAUGCAGGCUGUGCGGUCGUUGCGGUAUAUGAUGUGGCCGUUGCGGCAUUAGGUUUUAUAGUGGAUUUAGGAUCAACCGCAAUUGCAGCCCAAUGCGGAUACAGACAUUACCGCAAUCAAUUACCUUUCUAACUAACUUUCUAACUUCUAAUAGCAACAAUUCAAUAUCAAAUUGAUGCAAUCUAACUUGACAAACAAAAAAAAAAAAGCAACAGUCUUGGUAAUAAGAUCACAAUACAAUAAAUGAGAUGAAAUUUUAGAGCAAUAAAAUUAGAUUUAACAUACAAACCCUAAAUCUCAUAGCCAAGAAAUGAAUAAACAUACAGAGUAAUGUUCAAUUUUUUACUGAUUUCAUUCACAACCAUCUUGUAAUUUUCCAAAGCUGAAAAAGAAUAUUCUAACCUAACAGGCUUCCACUUAAAAUCAAUAAAGGGUUUUAAGAACUUAAGAAAAAGAAUUUAGAGAAUUACGUUGAGAAAGUACCUAUAACAUAUUCCUGACAAAGGUGAAAGGUAGAUGAUGCACAAAAAGAAUUAAUACACUGUAUAAAAAGCAAGUUCUUAUCAAGACACUGUAUAGG
rnacentral:lncRNA from 1 species